CAGCAGCCGCGGGAAUACGGAGGGCGCGAGCGUUACCCGGAUUUACUGGGCGUAAAGGGCGUGUAGGCGGCCUGGGGCGUCCCAUGUGAAAGGCCACGGCUCAACCGUGGAGGAGCGUGGGAUACGCUCAGGCUAGAGGGUGGGAGAGGGUGGUGGAAUUCCCGGAGUAGCGGUGAAAUGCGCAGAUACCGGGAGGAACGCCGAUGGCGAAGGCAGCCACCUGGUCCACUUCUGACGCUGAGGCGCGAAAGCGUGGGGAGCAAACCGGAUUAGAUACCCGUGUAGUCCCUGUCUCUUAUAA
rnacentral:rRNA from 1 species